UACGGAGGGUGCGAGCGUUGUCCGGAAUCACUGGGCGUAAAAGGGCGCGUAGGCGGCGCGGGCAGUCAACGGUGAAAGCUUGGGGCUCAACCCCGAGUCGGCCGUCGAUACUCCCGGGCUUGAGCACUGUAGAGGCAGGUGGAAUUCCGGGUGUAGCGGUGGAAUGCGUAGAGAUCCGGAAGAACACCGGUGGCGAAGGCGGCCUCUGGGGCAGUAGCUGACGCUGAGGCGCGACAGCGUGGGGGAGCAAACAGGG
rnacentral:rRNA from 1 species